rnacentral:rRNA from 1 species
AUUGAACGCUGGCGGCAUGCCUUACACAUGCAAGUCGAACGGCAGCAUGGAGGAGCUUGCUCCUCUGAUGGCGAGUGGCGAACGGGUGAGUAAAGCAUCGGAACGUACCGUGUAGUGGGGGAUAACGUAGCGAAAGUUACGCUAAUACCGCAUACGCACUGAGGUGGAAAAGCAGGGGAUCGCAAGACCUUGCGCUAUACGAGCGGCCGAUGUCAGAUUAGCUAGUUGGUAGGGUAAAGGCCUACCAAGGCGACGAUCUGUAGCGGGUCUGAGAGGAUGAUCCGCCACACUGGGACUGAGACACGGCCCAGACUCCUACGGGAGGCAGCAGUGGGGAAUUUUGGACAAUGGGGGAAACCCUGAUCCAGCCAUGCCGCGUGAGUGAAGAAGGCCUUCGGAGUGUAAAGACUCUUUCGGCUUGGGAAGGAAAUACGCACACGGACGUAAUAACUCUGUGUGGAGUGACGGUACC